rnacentral:misc_RNA from 1 species
AUGCAGGGGCCCCAGUU